AAAUUGAAGAGUUUGAUCAUGGCUCAGAUUGAACGCUGGCGGCAGGCCUAACACAUGCAAGUCGAACGGUAACAGGAAGCAGCUUGCUGCUUUGCUGACGAGUGGCGGACGGGUGAGUAAUGUCUGGGAAACUGCCCGAUGGAGGGGGAUAACUACUGGAAACGGUAGCUAAUACCGCAUAACGUCGCAAGACCAAAGAGGGGGACCUUAGGGCCUCUUGCCAUCGGAUGUGCCCAGAUGGGAUUAGCUAGUAGGUGGGGUAAUGGCUCACCUAGGCGACGAUCCCUAGCUGGUCUGAGAGGAUGACCAGCCACACUGGAACUGAGACACGGUCCAGACUCCUACGGGAGGCAGCAGUGGGGAAUAUUGCACAAUGGGCGCAAGCCUGAUGCAGCCAUGCCGCGUGUAUGAAGAAGGCCUUCGGGUUGUAAAGUACUUUCAGCGGGGAGGAAGGGAGUAAAGUUAAUACCUUUGCUCAUUGACGUUACCCGCAGAAGAAGCACCGGCUAACUCCGUGCCAGCAGCCGCGGUAAUACGGAGGGUGCAAGCGUUAAUCGGAAUUACUGGGCGUAAAGCGCACGCAGGCGGUUUGUUAAGUCAGAUGUGAAAUCCCCGGGCUCAACCUGGGAACUGCAUCUGAUACUGGCAAGCUUGAGUCUCGUAGAGGGGGGUAGAAUUCCAGGUGUAGCGGUGAAAUGCGUAGAGAUCUGGAGGAAUACCGGUGGCGAAGGCGGCCCCCUGGACGAAGACUGACGCUCAGGUGCGAAAGCGUGGGGAGCAAACAGGAUUAGAUACCCUGGUAGUCCACGCCGUAAACGAUGUCGACUUGGAGGUUGUGCCCUUGAGGCGUGGCUUCCGGAGCUAACGCGUUAAGUCGACCGCCUGGGGAGUACGGCCGCAAGGUUAAAACUCAAAUGAAUUGACGGGGGCCCGCACAAGCGGUGGAGCAUGUGGUUUAAUUCGAUGCAACGCGAAGAACCUUACCUGGUCUUGACAUCCACGGAAGUUUUCAGAGAUGAGAAUGUGCCUUCGGGAACCGUGAGACAGGUGCUGCAUGGCUGUCGUCAGCUCGUGUUGUGAAAUGUUGGGUUAAGUCCCGCAACGAGCGCAACCCUUAUCCUUUGUUGCCAGCGGUCCGGCCGGGAACUCAAAGGAGACUGCCAGUGAUAAACUGGAGGAAGGUGGGGAUGACGUCAAGUCAUCAUGGCCCUUACGACCAGGGCUACACACGUGCUACAAUGGCGCAUACAAAGAGAAGCGACCUCGCGAGAGCAAGCGGACCUCAUAAAGUGCGUCGUAGUCCGGAUUGGAGUCUGCAACUCGACUCCAUGAAGUCGGAAUCGCUAGUAAUCGUGGAUCAGAAUGCCACGGUGAAUACGUUCCCGGGCCUUGUACACACCGCCCGUCACACCAUGGGAGUGGGUUGCAAAAGAAGUAGGUAGCUUAACCUUCGGGAGGGCGCUUACCACUUUGUGAUUCAUGACUGGGGUGAAGUCGUAACAAGGUAACCGUAGGGGAACCUGCGGUUGGAUCACCUCCUUA
rnacentral:rRNA from 5 species